GCUUGGAUCGAUGAUGAGUCCCCAAAAAAAACAUUCCUUGGAAAAGCUGAACAAAAUGAGUGAAAACUCAUACCGUCAUUCUCAUCGGAACUGAGGUCCAGCACGUUGCCUUCCCCGGGGACUGUAGGAGUGAGGGACAACUUCCACUGAUUCCCAUAGGUUCCACCACCCAAGGCAUCCACAGCCAAAGUCUCCCAUCAAAUGCUCAUUAGGAACAUUCCCUUUUUGUGAGGUACACAGGUAGGAGAGUCCUGGGGGGAACGGCUGCUCUGUGAUGGCCUGGUGGCCAUGGAAGCAGACAGAAAUAUCGCAGGCCUAGGGUAGUGUGCGCCUGAUCUUGGCUUGGUGAGCUCCUAGGAAGGGAGACGCGGACCUCGUGGCAGGCGUCUCUGAGCAGAGGACUGAGUCCUUGUUUUCUUGCCGGGGAGAGCACAAGGCCCAGGCCUCAGGCAGAUGUUGGUCCUGAUUUUUGAUUAGCUGAGGACAAGGGAGUGCCAAGGGUGAUGGGGGACAGUGUAUAACAAAGGGUGUUGUGACAGAGAGCCAAAGCCUCUUUGGCCCUCCACCCAGCAUCCAGUCAUGGAGGCCCCCCAGCAGGGAUUUCUUCAUCCCCUGAGCCGUGAGAUGCCCCUGGUGCUAUGGUGGAAGCCUGGACUGGAAGGUACUCCACAGAAGAGGUGGUAGGGGGCUUAUGUGGACAUGUGUGUCAUCAGCAGUCUUGGGCUGUUGUUCAGCGUUGAUGGGCUUUCCAUUUAUUUCUCUAGUGGAUGACAAGUUGGCCAGCAGAGGUGUCAGAGGGCAGGUUCCAGGGAAUACAAGGGUCAGACUUGUGCUCCUGGCCCUUGGUCACUUCUCGUCUUCCUGACAGAGUAGUGGGCUCCACUGUUGGGCACAUCUUCCUGGAAGUCGUCUCUUGGCCCGCCAUUGCCGAGCGGCCACACCUGCUGCAGCUCGUGUGAGCAAAUAUGGCUCUGGAUCCUCUUUCCUGCUUUGAAAGCAGCUUCCAUCCUGAAGGCGUCCAGAGGGGGCAGUUAUCAUGGGACACCCGCCAUAUGCUGGCAAGGAAGAUGGUCAGUUCUUCUGAGCCACAAAGGCCCCCAACAUCCUGGAGUUGGUGUUGCCUAGCAUCCACGGUGCGCCCCCUGCUGGUGGAUGGCUCAGGAUGGGGCAGUUGCCGUGGGAGGCCCGCUGCCUGCUGGAAGGAAGAUGGUCAGUUCUUCUGAACCACAAAGGCCCUGCAGAGUCCUGGAGUCUGUGUGGCCUGGCUUCCAGGGUUCACCUCAUGCUGGUGGAUUGCUCAGGAUGGGUGCCGAAGGUCUUUAAGGUCGUCAGCUCACCUACUGCCCAGCCUGUGGUGUCAAAUGUCCUGCCUCUUCAAAUGUGUUUGGAUCGAUGAUGAGUCCCCCCAAAAAAACAUUCCUUGGAAAAGCUGAACAAAAUGAGUGAAAACUCAUACCGUCGUUCUCAGCGGAACUGAGGUCCAGCGCGUUGCCUCCAGCAGGGACUGUUGGAGUGAGGGAGAGCUUCCACUAGUCCCUAUAGGUUCCACCACCCAGGGCAUCCGCAGGUGCACCUCACCUAAGAGGGUGGCCAGAGACAGUGUCUUGUCAUGACAUCAGAAGCCCCAUGAGGAAGAGGAGGAGCCUGUGCUCCUGCCAGAGGUGGUGGCUGUUAGGGACAGUUGCCGUGGGAGGUCCGCUGCCUGCUGUCAAGGAAGAUGGUCGAUGCUUCUGAGAAACAGGCCCUGCGGGUUCCUGGAUUUGGUGUGGCCUGGCAUCCACGGUGCACCCCGUGCUGGCGGGUGGCCCAGGACGGGGCAGUUGCCUUGAGAGGCCCACCGCCUGCUGGCAUGACAGAUGGUCAGUUCUUCCGAGCAGUGGAAUCUCCAUGGAGUCGUGGAGUCGGUGUGGCCUCGCAUCCACAGUGCACCCUGUGCUGGUGGAUGGCUCAGGACACAGUUGUCAUGAGAGGUCUGCCGCUUGCUGGCAAGGAAGAUGGUCAAUUCUUCUGACCAACAGAGGCUGCCUUGAGUCCUGAUUUGGUGUGGCCUGGCAUCUAUGGUGCACCCAAUGCUGGGGCAGUUGCCGUGGGAGGCCUGCCGUCUGCUGAAAGGAAGAUGGUUGAUGCUUCUGAGCAAUGAAGGCCCCAUGGAGUCCUGGAUUCGGUGUGGCCUUGCAUCCGUGGUGCACCCCGUGCUGGUGGAUGGCUCAGGACGGGGCAGUUGCCAUGGGAGGCGCAGGCCUGCUGGAAGGAAGAUGGUCGAUUCUCCCAAGCAACAAAGGCCACGUAGAGUCCUGGUUUCAGUGUGGCCUGGUAUCCACAGUGCACCCCGUGCUGGUGGGUGGCUCAGGACGCACACUCAUUUCCUCUGCACCUUCCUGGUGUCAUUGGCAUGGAAGGAAGGCCCUUGUCCAAGAAGGAUGGUCUUCGUCUUGUGUGAUCUUUGAGAUGCCAUGAGGCCCCUGGAUACAAAUGGUGUGGGCUCCUUUGGAGGCUUUUGGAUUUCUCCUGAAUGUGGCGUUGGUAUGGAAGGAAGGCCAGUGACCGCAAGGGAUGACUUUGAUCUUGGGAGAUUUUUGGAGAUGGCAAAGUGCUUCUAAACAUGUUUGGCAUGGUCUCCUUCAGGCUGGUGGAUACCUCAGGAUGGUGGCGUUGGCAUGGAAGGAAGGACUGUGUCUGUGAGGGAUGAUCAUCCUCUCAUGUGAUCCUUGGAGAUGCCAGGAAGCCCCUUGACACAUGUGGCAUGGGCUCCUUCAGAGGCUUUUGGAUCCGUCGUGAAUGUGGCAUGGGCAUGCAAAGAAAGACAGAGGCUGCAAGGGAUAAACUUCAUCUUGGGAGAUCCCUGGAGAUGGCAGGGAACCCAUGGACACAUGUGGCAUGGGCUCCUUUGGGUGCCGGUGGAUCCCUUCAUACGGUAAAGCCAGAGUUGGGUAUCAACCAGAUACACUGCAGGGGAUCAGAGGACAUGGCCUUUGUGUACUGCACAUCUGUCAGAUUUUCUCAAGCACACCCGUGUUUCCUCUUCACCUCCCACGUGGAAGUGAUGAAUUGGCCAGGACCAUGUUGGUGAGGGACAAUCAUCAUCUCAUGUUAACCUCAGAGAAGCCAGGAAGCUCCUGGACACACAUGGUGUAGGCUUCCUUGGAGGCUGUUGGAUCUCUCCUGAAUGUAGUGUUGGUGUAAAAGGCAAACCCGUGUCAUGAGGGAUGGUCAUCAUCUUGUGUGAUCCUUGGAGAUGGCAGGAAGCCCUGGACAUACAUGGUGUGGGGGCUCCUCCAGAGGCUGUUGGGAUCCUCCUGGAUGUGGUGUGGGCAUGGAAGGAAGGCCAGUGGAGACAAUGGAUGAUCUUGUUCUUAGCAGAUCACUGGAUGUGGCAGGGAGUCCUAGGACAUGUGUGGUGUGGGCUUCUUCAGGUGCUGGUGGUGUUGGCAUGAGGAAAGGAGGUAUCUUCGAGGGACAAUCUUCUUCUUGUGCGAUCCUUGGAGAUGCCAUGAGGCCCCUGGACACAUGUGGUGUGGGCUCCUUUGGAGGCUGUUGUAUCCCUUCUGAAUGUGGCGUGGGCAUAGAAGGAAGGCCAGUGGCCACGAGGGACAAUCUUGGUCUUGGGAGAUCCUGGAAAUGAUAGGGAGUCCCUUGAUAUGUGUGGCAUGGGCUCCUUCAGGUGCUAGUGGAUUCCUUAGGAUGGUGGUGUUGGCAUGAAAGGCAGGCUUGUAUCAUGAGGAAUGAUUGUCAUCUUGUCUGAUUCUUGGAGAUGGCAGGAAGCCCCUGGAAACACAUGGUGUGGACUCUUUCACAGGCUGUUGAAACCCUCCUGAAUGUGAGGCCAGAGACAGGCAGACAGCAGAUGUAUUGCAGGGAGCUGGAUGACAUGGCCCUUGGAACCUGUGCACAUGCCUGCCUUUCUGAUGCACGUCCAUGUUUUCUCUGCACCUCCCCGGUGGUGUUGGUAUAAAAAGCAGGCUUACAUCAGCAAGGGAUGAUUGUCGUCUCAUGCGAUCCUGGGAGAUGGCAGAAGUCCCGGGACACAUGGAGUGUGGGCUCUUUCGGAGGCUGUUGGAUCCCUCCUGAAUGUGUUGUGGCCAUGGAAGUAAGGCCAGUGGCUACGAGGGACAGUCUUCAUCUUGGGAGAUCCCUAGAGAGGGCAGGGAGCCCCUUGACAUGUGGAAUGUGAUCUCUGUUGGGUGCUGGUGGAUCCCACAGGUGGUCUGGCAUGGAAGAAGGCCAGAGGCUGCGAUGGAUCAUCUUUGUCUUGGGAGAUUCCUGGAGAUGGUGGGGAGCCCCUGGGCACGUGCAGCAUAUGUGGCGUGGGCUUCUUCAGGUGCUGGUGGAUCCCUCAGGAUGAGAGGCGGAGGUAAACCACUGGCGCAGCCCUGCCUCCCACAGAUAAUUCCGGGUGCAGUGUUUCAUAUCUAGACUUGGACUUCUAUCCUACCAUACUUCUUUGUGUGCAGUUCAUUGUGGAACCAGCACAGAUUUUCAUACGAAAGUUAUUUCUUUUUAACCUCAAAAAGUGACAGAAUGGAGUGUAUCAUGAAAAAGUCUGACAUCAAAACCUCAAAAUGUGAUAUUGAUUGGGUGAGAUAGAAUUCCAUGGAAUUUCAUUGCCAAACCAGUGAAGUGCUAAUUUUGACAUUUGUACCAGCUAACGUAGCUGUGAAGAAACACACCAAUACACUUCUAAGGACAGCAUAGACCAAGAUCUAGGUUUCAUAUGGAUGAAUUUAUUCUUCCCUUUGAGGCAAGACAAGAAGGAAAGAAAGUAUUGGGAAUAAUGCUGCCCUCCCAUCCUCAAGGGCCAGUGGGAACUCUAAUAUUGAUUGGGUGAGAUACAAUUCCAUGGAAUUUUACCACUGAACCAGUGGAGGGCUAAUUUUGUCAUUUGUACCAGUUAACUAACUUGGGAGGAAACAGAACAACACACUCCUGAGAUUGGUUUUCACAGAAUUCCAUGGACUUUAACUGCUGAACCAAUGAUGCACUGAUUUUGUCACUUGUACCAGCUAACGCAUCUGGGAGGCAACAAAACAAUACUCUCCUGAGGUUAAUGUGGACCAAAAACUAGAUUUCAUAUAAAAGAGUUUAUUCCUUCUACUUGAGGUGUGACAUGAAGGAAAGUAAUGGAAAUAAUUCUGCCCUCCCAUUCUCAAGGGCCAGGGGGAAUUCAAAUAUUGAACGGAAGUGAUUUUGGAAUUGCAUGGAAUUCUCACUGCCAUCCCAAAGAAAUGCUGAUCUUGUCACUCUUACCUGUUUCAUUCCCUGGGGGCAGAACAAAAGGACGCACUCCAAAGAUCGGCAUGAACCAAGAACUGGGUUUCAUAUAAAAUAUUUUAUUCUGUCCUCUUGAGAUGUGACAUGAGAAAAGUAUUGAGAAUACUUCUAUCACCUCAUCUUCAAGAAUCCGUAGGAAUUCUCCCAUGGUAAGCAUUUUGUCCUGAAAAUACUGGCAUUCCUCUUAGGAGAUCGUGACACUCCAAUGACCAUGAGACCCUGGCCAUGCUAGUCAGCCAUUGGCCAGUCAUUGACUGUGAUGCCAGUCUCCAUAAUUGAAUGAAUAGUGUGGGUCAGUGUACCCCAAGCUGAUGGAAAGCUGUGUGCUCAGUGUCUGUCACAUAUCCCAGGCUUAAGGUACCUUUUAUAAAUGUACCUGGAUUGACGAUGACUUUAAAAAAAAAAAAUCUCAUUGAAAUCUGAAAAAAAUGAGUGACCAAACCACUUCUGUGAGCUGAGGUCCAGCACACAUGAUAGGCAAACGUGGAGGGAUGUGGAUGGUCAGUGCCCACAGGGACUGGGGUAUUUGAAAGCUAAUCUGCCUGCGUAUGUUAGAGGAAAUGAAUUGGACAGUCAUCUAUAAAUAUCGUAUUUUUUAAUAAAAUGGCUAUUCCUUUGGUGCUUGGCUGGUAGCAUCCAUCCACUGGUAGUAAAUAGACCCUGGAAAACCAGCACAUAUGUAGUGAGACCCCAUGAGACAUGAUUGUGCCUACCUUUGAGCCAUCCAUAAGUUAUCUGGGACAUGACAGUCUUUUGAGUGAGAGCAGUUUACUAAGGUCAUUUAGAUCAUCAGUUCCAAAGAUGGUGUGGAUCUUAUCGAUUAUUUUUUUAGGCAGAGGUAAUAUCUGGAAAAUUAAGAGUGAUUUCUAACCAUGAGAAUAUUUUAGUUUGUUUAAAUUUGCUUGCUAACCCAGUACCAAGAAUUCAGACCUUUUUUCUGUCUGUAUAAAGCAAUAUUCUAGACAUUUGAGUGAUUCAAGUAGAUGUUGUGAGAUGAUUACAUUUCCAGUCCUUGGAAUGUUAUGUGGAUUUUAUUGGCUAAUCUUCAUAUUUCAUCAGUGGAUUUUCCUAUGCAUGUUAAGGGAGAUCCUUGUUAAUUGAUGUCUAGGUGGACUUUACGGUUAACCUGAACAGGUCUUGGAAAAAGGACUUUAAACAUUCUCCUGUUCUGUGGAAUAAGUAUACUUUUUUCUGGACAUACACCUUGUCAGUGAGUAUGUAUCAUAAUUCCUCAUAACUUCUUAUCAGGAAACAUUCGAUGUAGAAGAUUUCUUUCUCAACUUCUCUAAUUGCCCCUGUGGUUUGCAGGUUCCAUGUGAUACUAGAGUUGCAUAGAUUUUUAACCUUUACGCCAAUGAAGAUCUGAGGCAAACAUUGCCCCUUUUUUAGAAGUUUGCAUUUGUCACUGAUAACUGUAAUAAUUGAUCUUGUUGAAAAGCCUGGGAAAUGAAGAUCUGAUAUGUCACUUUUACCGGCUUCCUCAACUGAAAAAGAAUACAAUGAAACACGCUGAGAAUUUUUGUGCUUUCUCAGUCUUGCUGAUGAUCUUUCUAUGGGCCUGAAGCGUGGAGAGUGCCAGAGAGGCUGAUCCUCAGCAGUGUGGCAGAGGAAAGUUGGGUGCGACUAAGGGGUAUGCGGUGCCCACAUGCCACUGGGUCCUCAGCAGUACCACCUGAUUGGAAGUGAUAUUGGUGGAAGACAACAUUUUGCCGCUUGGAAUUCUCACCUCCACACCAAAGAAGUACUGUUUUUGUCAUUUGCACCAGCUUCUUUCUCCAGGAAAGAUCAAAACGAUGCACUGCAAGUGUGAUUGGUCCAGAUAGCUGCCUUAUCCAACUGCCUCCUUUGGACCACUUCAUCAUGGGACAGCUUGAUGCAAUCUACUUGACAAGACCCUGGAACCCCACACCCCUCAUGGAACCAGUGUCCACCUCCCAGUCACAGUGUGACCCCAGGGAACUCUUGCCUGCUUGCUUUAAACCCACCACUUAAAAGUCUCCACAGAAAACCUGUUUGAAUAGUACCCUUGACCCAAUAAGGGCAUUGGCCCCUGGGUGUCUCUCUCUCUCUCUCUCUCUCUCUCUCCCUCUCUCUCCCUCUCUCUCUCUCGCUCCCUGACCUCUGCGUGUGGACUCCAGGCAUGCCAUAUACCCCUCAGGACCUGAAGCAAAAGAAUGAAUUAAAGAAAACUCCAGAGAAUGAGCUGACAACCUACUCCCUGGUCAGUGGCUCUCCAUGCCUACCUGUGGUCUCUUGGACACCCUUGCAGAAGAUGACUUCCUGGGAACUCUUCUGGGAGUGAAUGUUAUCAGCAAAUUCCCAAAACAACACCCCUUAGACAAAAAGCCUCCUCACCUAUGCAUUGCCUAGACCACCCACUAAAGGUGAUGGCCACAAAGAGGUGGAUUUGUUGAGUUGGUGCCAUUCCUUCUACUGCCAGCUUCACCAAAACAAUGACACAGUCUUCCUUCCGCAUGGAGACUCUUCUCUUUCCUGUGUUGCAGUGGAUGCCUCCUGCAGAUAAGAAAUGCUUAACUGAGAAAUGCUCAUGUUGGGAUAUCAUCGAUGAGACUUUAAUUUGGGCAUGGUGACUGUUUCCCUUGCUGCCACUUGACUCAAUCCCAGGAGCCUCAGUAGAGGAUAUAAUAUUACACAAGAUGCUCAAAAUGGUGGAAUUGCUCAGUGCUCCCAUAAAUAUACAUUUAUAAUUUUCAUUUGCCACAUGGUAAACUGAAAAAUACAGACUAUAUUAAAAAGAAACUGCAUGAUUUUUUUUCAAAAAUUCAAAGCAUAUUUAAAUAAUAUAUAAAUUAAAUGCCCUCCUCUCUUCCAAUUCUGUCCCUAUAGUUUUCCUCUAUUAAGUGAACUACAUGCAUUCUUUUAGUGGAUAGAUGCACACAAACACACAAGCCAUUAUGGGGAAGGAUCCACGUGUGUGGCCAUAUUGUAACACAUUUUUCUGCAAAUCACCUCUUUCAUUUAACAGCCCUUAUUCAAUGGCCUUUUUCUUUUUCAGUAGUACAUACACAUCUGUGUCAUUUGUUGAAUGACGACAUGAAUGUUUUGUAGAUAAAAUAUAAUUAAAUGUUUUAAGCAUUUCUCACUCAUAGAUAUUUAUGUUAGCACCAAAUUUCUGUGCAAUGAACCUCCCUAUAUAUCAGUAAUUUUGCAUUUGUCUAUAAUAUCAUAAUAAAUUACUUAUCAGUUGAAUUACUGGGAUUAAGUAUGUGCACACUUUAUAUUUAUAUUUUGAAAAUUAUUGCAAGAUUGCCUUCAAAAAUGUGGUUAACAACUUUAUCUUCAAAUGGCAAUGAAUGAGAUUGCCAGCUUUCCUACAGCCUCACAGACAAUGGAUUUUAUAAAUAUUUAACAUUUUUGCCAAUGUGAUCACCCAAACUAUUGUCUUAAAUUGUAUCUCUUUUGUUUUUGAGUUUGGUCAUUUUUUCAUGUUUAUUAGCCAUCUGUAUUUUUUAAUUUCUUCUUUAUGUCCAAUUUUGUGGGUGGGAGGAGGAUUUAGUCUCUUCCUGAUUUCGAAGAGCUCAUUUACUAUUUCGGGAAAUAAGAUUUGGAUUGUCAACCAUUAUAGCUAUUUUUUACACACUUUUCAACUUUGUUUUUGUUAUAAGAAUGUGUAUGAUUGUUACAUGUCCAAGUAUAACCAUGUUCGCUUUUAUGGCUUCUGAGUUUCAUGUCAUUUUUGGAAAGAUAUAUAUAUUGAGUCCAUAAAACCCUUCACCUAUGUUAAAUUCUAAUUCUUUUGUGUUUUUUUAAUUCAAAUUCUUAAAUCAUGAGAAAUUUUUUUGUUUUGAAAUCUUAAAGUUGCCAAGUUACUUGCCAUUACUUGCGAUUAUUUGCCAAUAAUUGCCCAUUUAUCUGUACCGCCAUCUUGCGCAUAUGCUGUACUCUCAUCUGUGACUGGCUCCAUUUUUGUUCUGUGGAUUUGUGUGUCUCUUCUUCUGCCUCCUGUCUCGUGUCUGCUCGUUGGAAGAAAUUACAGUUUAGACUGCAAUUUCAUCAACUUUAAUAAAUCAAUUGAGGGGAGAAUUGGUUUUUAAAAAUAUUAAGUAAGUCUUCGUAUCCAAGGACAAGGUAUGUCUUUUCUUAUUCAAUAAUUUUAAUUACUGUUAAUAUUUUCACUGUGGUGAUGGGAGUUUUUCUUUUAAUUUAUUUUCUUGUUCAUUUUUUGUAUCUAAAGUUUUUGUUUUGUUUUGUUUUGGGGGUAAGUUGUCACCUUACUGUUUCUUGUUGCUUUUCAGAUUUUUUCAAAGUAUAGACUAAAUCCUUCACAAAUAUUUAAAGUUUUUAUUUUCCCCCUUCAUAUUGAUCCUGAUUUUAGUUAUGUUGACAAAGUCCACAGACUGUUACUAUCAGAACACUUGAACAGUUAUGGAAAUAUUACCUACCCUUGAUUUAAUCAGAGUUUAAUGGUAUGCUUCUUUGGUUUGACUGGCACAUUGUCGCUGGUCAUUUCCUCCCAAAGACCACCAGAAAGAGCUAUGAUCAAGCAAAGCUGAGUUUGUUAAACUUACCUGCAGCAAGGGAAAACACCACCUUGAUAGGGUUUAAUAAUGUUUCAAAAUCAAGAAAUGAGGCUUUGGGGUCUGGGCAGGGAACUAAUUAGAAAUGGGCAAAAUUUGUCAUGCAAUACCUUGUGGGAAAGUGAGAUGAGGUUCUUAAUGUGAGUAUUGAUGGUGAAAUCAUUUUCUAGGUGAGCUGUUUGCCUAUAUAAAGAUGUUAUCAAUGACAGAAGAACUAUUUGCCUAGAUAAACAAACUGAAUUUAUUUAUUGGUUUACAGUUUUAUCUUGCUGGGCAGGACUCUGCUGGGGGUGGUAUCAGGUCUUAUUCCCAAUAGGUAAGUUAUUUGGAUAUGGGUGGUCUUAAUCAUCAAUGUGUAAAAUGCUGAUUUUAAGUGCGAAAUACUUUGUCUACCAUGUUAGGAAAGUCUGCCACCUUUUAUCUUUUUUAAGGAAUUUUAAUCAAAACCAGGUGGUAGAUAUAAUCAAAUUGUUUUGCAGAAUCAAUUUUCCUGUUCUCUUUAAAGACUUUUAUCACUGUGAAUUAAUUUACUAUUAUUGCAACUUCCUUUAAUUCCUUGAAUGAACAGACCCUACUGGUUUUAAAAAUGUUUUAUUCUUUUAAUUUACUACUUAAUUGUGGGUAUUUUAAUUUGAUUUGGAAUUUUUACAAGUAUACAACUAAGUGAAAUUGAUCUGUGAUUUUUCUUUUUUGUGCUAUUUUUGUCAUGUUUUGAUAUCAGAUAUUCUGGUUGUGUUAAAAUAAUUUUGAGGAUUUUCUUCUUAUACUGUGUUCUAGAGUGGGUAAAAAAGCCCUAGUCUCACUAUCAGUGUUUAAGUGAACACAUCAGUGACAUCAUCUGGACUCUCCUUUGUUUUUGCUGGUUUGGAGUUAGGACAUCUAGAAGUUUUUUUCUUUUUUUCCUUUUUUUGUAUGGUUAUUGCUUGUUCUUUGUUUUGUGUCAAAUUUAACCUGUUUUCUCUUAGCAAAUCACAGCUCAUGCAGAUUUUCAAACACAUUAGCCUUGUUAUACAAAGUGUUCUUUCAUCAUUCUAUUAAAUUUCCAUUUUCAUUCCAGUUAUAGUUAUUUCUGCUGUGCCUUUGUUAAUGAAUAAGUUUAAACAGUGGAUGUUUAGCAUCACUAGCCUUCCCCUUCCAUCUCCCUUAAUCAGGACCUUGGUAUAAUUUAUCAGGUAUUUUUUAAGGUUCUAAUUUACUUAUAUAUAUUGUUUCUGUAUUCUUUUGUUUCUUUUCUUAAUAAAUUCUUAAA
ensembl:lncRNA SNHG14 small nucleolar RNA host gene 14